UUCACUGGUAGACGUUUUUCUUAGGAAGAAGCCUUCUAUGAUCGCUCCCUGUGUUCUGAUCGCUCCUUGUGUUCUCCCCGUCAGAUUUCCUUGUGAUCGCCCUGUGACUCCUGGAUGUGGACAAGCGCUCCCCCCUGGAUUUCCUUGUGUUCCUCACGACGCCAUUGGUAUUACCAAUCGGUUGCCUUCCUCCGUGCACUUACCUCCCUGGUCCCUCCCCGUGGAUCCUCUGUGCCUCGCCACCGACUGAGCCUGCCAGCGUUUCAUGUUCCGGGAGCUAACUGUCGAAACUCCGCUCGGAGGUCAGCUCACUCUGCUCUCCAGCUGCAAGGCUUACCUGCUCGCUCUCCGACGGUAACUCACUUCUCCAGCCGCCACCUUCGACAAUACUAACCUCCGCAUUCAAUCUGACGACCAGUUUCCUCCAGUCCCAGGUUCCAGAACUAUUUCCCCUGACCCCUCUUCCUUUCACCAAAAUAAAUAUUAUUGUUGUUUCA